rnacentral:rRNA from 1 species
CGGACGGGUGAGUAACGCGUGAGAACCUGCCUUCAGGUCUGGGACAACCACUGGAAACGGUGGCUAAUACCGGACGUGCCGCAAGGUGAAAGGUUAACUGCCUGAAGAUGAGCUCGCGUCUGAUUAGCUAGUUGGAAGUGUAAAGGACUCCCAAGGCGACGAUCAGUAGCUGGUCUGAGAGGACGAUCAGCCACACUGGGACUGAGACACGGCCCAGACUCCUACGGGAGGCGGCAGUGGGGAAUUUUCCGCAAUGGGCGAAAGCCUGACGGAGCAAUACCGCGUGAGGGAGGAAGGCUCUUGGGUCGUAAACCUCUUUUCCCAGGGAAGAACAAAAUGACGGUACCUGAGGAAUAAGCAUCGGCUAACUCCGUGCCAGCAGCCGCGGUAAUACGGAGGAUGCAAGCGUUAUCCGGAAUGAUUGGGCGUAAAGCGUCCGCAGGUGGCAAUGUAAGUCUGCUGUUAAAGAGUCUAGCUCAACUAGAUAAGAGCAGUGGAAACUACAUAGCUAGAGUACGUUCGGGGCAGAGGGAAUUCCUGGUGUAGCGGUGAAAUGCGUAGAGAUCAGGAAGAACACCGGUGGCGAAGGCGCUCUGCUAGGCCGUAACUGACACUGAGGGACGAAAGCUAGGGGAGCGAAUGGGAUUAGAUACCCCAGUAGUC